GGAGACGUGGCCGAGUGGUCGAAGGCGCUCCCCUGCUAAGGGAGUAACGGGGAAACUCGUUCGAGGGUUCGAAUCCCUUCGUCUCCG
rfam:Roseobacter sp. CCS2 1101676645857, whole genome shotgun sequence.